CCCUUAGAUGUUCUGGGCCGUACGCGCGCUACACUGAUGCAUUCAACGAGUCUAAAACCUGCUCUGAUAGGGGUGGGUAAUCUUUUGAAUGUGCAUCGUGAUUGGGAUAGAUGAUUGCAAUUUUUCAUCUUCAACGAGGAAUGCCUAGUAAACGCAAGUCAUCAGCUUGCAUUGAUUACGUCCCUGCCCUUUGUACACACCGCCCGUCGCUCCUACCGAUUGAAUGAUCCGAUGAAUAUCAUGGAUUGAGGAUGCAAGUAGGUUCGCCUAUCUUCAUCUUCGAGAAGUGAAGUAAAUCUUAUCAUUUAGAGGAAGGAGAAGUCGUAACA
rnacentral:rRNA from 1 species